ensembl:lncRNA
CAAUGGGUGUGGUACUUUAAGUGGAAAGAAAAAGCAAGUGAGUUGUAGUGAUGAAACAGAUGUGGGUAGGAAAGCUAAUGGAGAAAGGCAGAUGUAGAAUAAAAAUUUUACUAGUGGUACACUAAGUAGAGCAGCACUUGACAUAAACAUAUACUAUGCACUAGCAUGGAUCUCUCUGGCAAUGUUUGUGAUUUCAGAUUUAUUGGCCAAGAUCUUCUGGAAAUUAAAUAAAAGCAACAACAAUCUGAAAAGAGAGGAGGAAAAAGAAAAGGAAAGAAAGAAAGAAGGAAAGGAAGGAAAAGAAAUAAAGAAAAAAGCAUAAAGGAAGGAAGGACUUUGCAUUUGGAACUCAUCUACAAUCACAAGGUGGAAUUAUAUUUUGCAUAUCUUACAGCACUGUCAUGAAUAGCAGCAAGCUGUGUGUGAUUGCUAGCUUAGAGUGGGUUAUUUCUGCACUGCACCAAUCUACCUGGAAUUUGAUACAGCAGUUACUGGUGAUGUCUUUCCCAUUGGCAGCAAAGGUUCAUUGUUGCUCCAGCCACCUUCAAUCACAGCAUCACAAGUUCAGGCUUCAGGAAUAUUAAAGGAUUCUCACAAAAGAAGACUUUGAUGAAUUCAGUGAUGCAUUAAGGACAGGUUGAUGCCGUGCUCAGAAAAUGAUCUUUAGCUCUGCAGCUGAGAAGUGAUGAAAAGGAACAAUCAAGCCCUCUUCAUGAUGCUUUGUCCUUGCAACACCACUGUAUUUCAGGUCCCUCACCCUCGUGGCUUGGCCAAAGGCACAAACAAUGCAAAGAUAACAAAGGAUGAUGCCCAUUGGUCUAGAAGAAUCUUUGGCUCCUUCAGGCACAUAAAAGGCGACAGAUAUUCAAGGAACUGACUUCAUUGCAAUGGUAGGAGCAGCACAUUUUUCCCCGUGUUUUUCACAGUACAGAAACUGGUGAUUGCUUGGGCAUUUAGCUUCAGCCAAAGGCUAAAUGACCCCUUCUGCUUCUUGUCAAUGGGGUGAAAUAACCCCAAUUUGUUUUAUAGUAGAAAUCGCCUUGAGAUUAUUUAAUGAAGGUGUUAUUAUCAUUAUUAUGAAGUGAAUGGGGAAGGUGUUUGGAUAAUUGGCAGAAGAGAAAAUGAGAACAGCGAACAGUUACAACUCUGAGGCCCCUUGGCAACAGACACCUUCUUAAGUGUAUCUGAAACAGGCAGCUCCCUUGAUCAGUACAGACCUUUCUGCUGGAGAGGCAGCUUCCUCUAGAAGUGUGCUUGUGAAUUUAAAUACACAGGAACUGAGAAACAGAAAUAACAAUUUUCUUGAUUUCUACCCCUCCCGCUAACUAAAUACACAUUUACUGCUAAUUAACUUAGAGGUAUGGAACACAUUACCUGGCACAAAUUCAUCUCCUACUAUUUGUUAGGCUGAGUGAAAAAGAAAUAACUUUUCCUGUUUGCUUUAUCAUGUCCUUGUUUUGUGCCUUGCUGUAUUGUAUUUUUUUUCUUUUUUUUCCCCCCUCCAACAUUUUUGUUUUAAAACCAGUAGGUUUUAGAGCAAGAAAAACAUGUUCAGAAUCUUACAAGGAGAGAAUAUCUUUCUUCCAAUCCAUCCAAACACAGGAAUGAAAGACAGAUCAAAAGACAGACAACAUCUUUUAGGGUAAAUGCUUAAAGACGUCUCUGGUCCUAUCUCUGUAUGUACACCUCCACACUCAGAAAGUGGAAAUGCUCUAGGCAGAUGGGAGACUUUUGGUUCUAUUCUACCCUGCUGAUACAUGACGUAGAGCUAACUAUCCUCUCAGAAUGCUGAGGGCAGGUUUCUGUUGACACUCGUGAUGCUGUCCUAUAUCCAGGGGUGCUCCAGAGGUGAUACUGAGUAUCCACAUCCAAUAGUGUUUACGUUGAUUUAUUUUUCCUUUUAAUUUUAAUUUUAAUUUACUUUUAAAUACAAAGUUCAGGCACUUUUUUUUUCUCUUUCUCUUUCUGUUUUUUUUUUUUUUUUUUCCCCCCCCACCACUCCCUAUGAUAUACCACAUAGCCUCUACCUGUUUUGCCAUGAGGGCACAGAGCUCCCCUAGGUCCCACAUAAUGUCAGCCAGCCUGGUGCAGUUCUCUCAGACACUGUCCCACGAGGUCUAGCAAGGACCAUAGAUGCCAGUUUAGACAACUGAAUUUCAUCCCGAGUGUCCUUCUGGCAUCAAAUAGUUAUUCUCCCAAAAUGCUCUUGUUAGUUUUCUCACUGAUGUCUUUGGAGACCAAAGUUUUCUACAGAAAGGAAAAGCAAGCUGAUCUCAGUACUUCUUAUAAGAAUAUAUAUUUUACUCUUGGUGGG